rfam:Pseudomonas sp. 5 contig5, whole genome shotgun sequence.
UUCGGCCUCGCACUGAUUUUUCGGUGCCCUCUGCACGCCGUCGCCGACGCAUCCCUAAUUCGAAUCAGUACGCGAUCCUGUCGCCUUCUUUGCGGCGCGGC